CAGAAAGUACCUUGGAAUUCUCCUAUUUUAAUCCCAUUCAUUGUACGUCUGCAGAUCUCCAUAUGAAAGGAGGUUGCCUCUUUCAUGGGCGUUUACGGAAUGGCGACAACCACAGUCUGACAAGUGCUGAGGUGCUGAAGAGGAGAAAUGUGUCAGCGGACACCAUUGAGAAAUUGACAAAGCUGUUUGAUAUAGGCCACUCUCUUUCAUCAGCUCUAAACAUGAUCAAAUAGGAGUUGCAAGUGGAGUAUGGAGACAACCAUGUGCAUGCCUCUGUGGACCCCUCCAUUUGCCCCAGCUUCAAUUCUGCUACAAAUUAUACCACAAGCUUUUCAAAGAAGCAUGGGUUGCAUCGUAUGUAGAGAACAAGAUUGACGAUUCUCACGAGAAUCUGGAUAACUGCAAUGAAGAAGAAUGUUCACCAGAAUGUUAUGUUUUCGACUGUGGCAACGUGUCUGAGGACACUGUUGAAAUCGAGUGUGCUCCCGUUUCGGAUGUAAACGGCUCAGGUACAUCUGGAAAUCCAGCUGAGGGUGCGACGUUAGAGGAAGACUGGAUGGAGAUCUUUGAAGACCUCAAAAAGAAGAUGAGGGAGGAUCUUGUGAGUUCUAAAGUAGCAUCCUUUGUUUCCAGCUUCAAGAAGAUGAAAACAGACAGUGAACUCAUAGCCGCUCUAUCAAACUUUGGCAAAACCAACCCUGGACCAACAGCAACGUUUCGCCAGGGACACGCACGCCCCGCAAAGAGCUCCAUAGGAGAGCGUGGACAUGGCACAUGCUGCUGGAAGAGGAAGGCACCCCAUUGAAUGUCUCAGUGUGUGGAAUAACACAUGGACAUUGGGAGUACUACACAAAAAUAGCAAGUCAACAUCAGUGGCCCCAUGUGCCCGAGUCUUAAAUAUAAAAUGCUUAUUUAUAUUUUUUUAUAGACCGGUGUACACUACCAUUCAAAAGUUU
rnacentral:lncRNA from 13 species